GCACAAGCGGUGGAGCAUGUGGUUCAAUUCGAAGCAACGCGCAGAACCUUACCAGCCCUUGACAUGUCCCGUAUGGACUUCAGAGAUGAGGUCCUUCAGUUCGGCUGGCGGGAACACAGGUGCUGCAUGGCUGUCGUCAGCUCGUGUCGUGAGAUGUUGGGUUAAGUCCCGCAACGAGCGCAACCCUCGCCCUUAGUUGCCAUCAUUUAGUUGGGCACUCUAAGGGGACUGCCGGUGAUAAGCCGCGAGGAAGGUGGGGAUGACGUCAAGUCCUCAUGGCCCUUACGGGCUGGGCUACACACGUGCUACAAUGGCGGUGACAGUGGGACGCAAUGGAGCAAUCCUGCGCAAAUCUCAAAAAGCCGUCUCAGUUCGGAUUGGGGUCUGCAACUCGACCCCAUGAAGUCGGAAUCGCUAGUAAUCGCAGAUCAGCACGCUGCGGUGAAUACGUUCCCGGGC
rnacentral:rRNA from 1 species